AGCUCUAUAUAUAACAGCCAGAAUUGCACCAAUGCAUUGAAAAUCAAGGAUAGGCAAGAUAAGAUUGAAUUGCCACAGACAACGAUUUAAGAGUAUGAAUAGAGCAAACGUCAUUGCAACCUUAGUAACUGUAUCGACAGUUAUCCAACAAGGCUUAACCAUUCCGGCUAUAGGCUUCAGCGCGGUUUUAAGCAACGAUACUCACUUGGGCAAUGAUGAUGCAAUAAAAUAUAACAAUGUCCUUACAAACUUGGGAAACGGAUAUGACAAGUGGUGUGGACACUUUGUGGUACCUACAAAAGGGCUUUACGUUUUUAGUUGCACAGUAAUGGCAACGAAUGCAAAUACAAUAACUCUCGGAAUCAUAAAAAACGGUCAGAGUGUUUUACCAGUGUCAUCGGCUAACACACCUUGGGAAAGUAGUACAAGAAUUGUGGUACUGUCAAUGGAUAAAGGAGAUAGGGUCUGGGUGAGACGUCUUGCGCACGACCGAAAUAUUCAGGGCCACUACAACUCCUUUUCAGGAUACCUUAUUUCAACAGAAACAUAAGGGAACCGAGCUUGGUAUUUAUUACGUUUGUGUUUAUUAUUUAUUAUAAUAAACAGAAUA